GUGCUCGCUUCAGCAGCACAUACACUAAAACUGGAAUGAUACAGAGAUUAGCAUGACCCCUGAACAAAGAUGACAUAAAAAUUCAUGAAGCUUUUCAUAUUUAU
ensembl:snRNA U6 U6 spliceosomal RNA